rnacentral:lncRNA from 1 species
AGUCAGGGACCCUGAGCAGAAGCCCCUGCAUCACAGGCUUCCACCACAGCCCGGAAGAGUUGCAGCACUGUGGGCCAGUGGUAGUUCCAUGUAUAGCACGAGUGGAGGCCCAAGAUGCAUGUGCAUGUAUGGGCCUAAGAGGUCUCCAUGAAUUGUUUCUCUGGGUGGUAGAGAACCCAAGCAAGUGGGAGCCAAGAGUAUCUACCCCCGUCCCUGACUCUGUUUCCUGUGAGAGGGGCUGUGUUGGCCCAGGCCUGAGUGUGCCAGGGUUGCUUGGGCAACCACUGCCCCAUGCCUGCAGUCUCAUCUCUCCUUCUGAAGCCAAAUCAGAGAAGUGCAGACUCAUGGGGCUAUGAGGAAACCCAUGUUGUGUGGAUCAGCAGUCACAAGGUGAAGGCUCUCUUCCCACUUCUUCCGCAGCUCUAGCUGUGUGGCUUUGAGCUAGUUGCUAUAUGUCUCUGAGACUUCAUUUCUAAUUUAUGUAAUAGGUAUAUUAAUGUUAGUUAUACUUUGCUAUAUAAACAAAUCAAGACUUCGUGGCUUAAACAAUAAACAUUUCUUAUACAGUUUCUGUGGGUCAGGAAUUUGGGAGUGACUACACAGGGUGGUUUCAGCUUAGGGUCUUUCAGGUAUGGAGUUCCUUUGACAAGGUACCUGGCUUCCUCCAGAGUGAGCGAUCUAAGACAGCAAGACAGAAUUCACACUGUCUUUUAUGACUAACCUUUGAAGUCAAGUUCUGUCAUUUCUACACUACCCUAUUAGUCACAAAAGUCAAUGCUAUUCAAGGAUGGUGCAAACGACUGUGGGCCGUCUGAGGCUGGCUAGCACAAUGGAGUUAUUAAUAUCUGCCCUGCCCAUCUUACAGAACCAUUGAGAGGUUUGGUUUGCACACCCACAGCAAGGAAAAUCAGCACCCAGAGGAUGCAUC